rnacentral:rRNA from 1 species
CCUACGGGGCGCUGCAGUGGGGAAUAUUGGACAAUGGGCGAAAGCCUGAUCCAGCCAUGCCGCGUGUGUGAAGAAGGCCUUCGGGUUGUAAAGCACUUUCAGUGGGGAAGAAAGCCUUGGGGCUAAUACCCUCGAGGAAGGACAUCACCCACAGAAUAAGCACCGGCUAACUCCGUGCCAGCAGCCGCGGUAAUACGGAGGGUGCGAGCGUUAAUCGGAAUUACUGGGCGUAAAGCGCGCGUAGGCGGUCUGAUAAGCCGGUUGUGAAAGCCCCGGGCUCAACCUGGGAACGGCAUCCGGAACUGUCAGGCUAGAGUGCAGGAGAGGAAGGUAGAAUUCCCGGUGUAGCGGUGAAAUGCGUAGAGAUCGGGAGGAAUACCAGUGGCGAAGGCGGCCUUCUGGACUGACACUGACGCUGAGGUGCGAAAGCGUGGGUAGCAAACAGGAUUAGAUACCCCAGUAGUC